UCCAGGUGGUUUUGUCGUCGUUCAGCUCCGACCCUCCUGUUCUUCAACUGGUGACACUGUUUGGAUUUAAACUAUUUACACACCAGUGAGUCAUUAAACUGAAGCGUGAUGAGUCAGAAUUAGCUUUUGAAUGAGCUCAACUGGUGAGGUGGUCUGUCUGUCUAUCAUGAUGGAGAGAACAGACAGGACUCGCCAGCUCAAGGGAGGAAAUGAGGCUUAGCAGGGGAGCAGUCGCCCUCGCUACAAAGAAUGACACUCUUUAAGUUAUGCACAUCCACUUGGAGGUGCUUGGCUGAGAGCAACAAAUGAAUAAAAAAAAAAAAAAACAGAGAUCCCACGCUCUGUGAAGGCUUACAGAUGUAAGAAAGUAGAAAUCCCACUUUUUUUACAUGCUGCUCGGAUUUUCUUUUCUGCUGCAUAAGACAAAAAAAAGCAAUUAGGAAGUUCUGCUCUCGGCACAUACUAAGAGGUUAUCUAAAUUAGCUUCUAAAUACUUGAUGAUGUUUGUUAGUGCUUCCUUGUGUUUGGUUUUAGCCUGUCUGAUGUAGCAAGUGGACGGGAUUUAACAAAGAAGUCAACUGUUUUAGACAAACUGAUUGAGAUAAAUGUCAUAUAUGAGGAGAUAACUGGUUGAUAAGUUACCUGACAUAUCUUACCUUCAAUUGUUAAAAAAAACCCCUCAACUGUUAGUUACGUCAAGCAGGUUUCAUGUCUGGUUUAAGUGAUACAGGAUUGGUUGUCUGGCUGAAAUAAACAGCUCUGCAAGACCUUUUAGAUGCCUGUGAAUUGUUGUAGGAUUCAAGCAACUAAAACUUUAUUGCUUUCAGGUUAAAGCAUGCAUUUAAAAUGGUUAUAUUCAAUAAUUUAACAUUAACUAUCAGACAUAUAAAGAUUAUCGUCUGACUCUGCAGCUCCCCUCAGCUCUACGGAGCGUUUUAGCACAUUUCAGCUUAUUGUUUUUGUUUUUCUAGCCGGAGACUUUACUGUUUUGUUCACUUUAAGGCAGUGAUUUUUCCUUCUAGUAUUACCCUGUAACUGCUGCUCCAGUACUCCAUCAGAAGUACCGUAAAUAAUAAUCUCUCUCA